rnacentral:rRNA from 1 species
CCCUUAGAUGUCCUGGGCCGCACGCGCGCUACACUGACAUGUUCAACAAGUUUCUCCUAGUUCGACAGGGCUGGGAAAUCUUUGAACGCAUGUCGUGAUAGGGAUAGAUCAUUGCAAUUAUUGAUCUUGAACGAGGAAUUCCUAGUAAACGCGAGUCAUCAGCUCGCAUUGAUUACGUCCCUGCCCUUUGUACACACCGCCCGUCGCACCUACCGAUUGAAUGUUUCGGUGAAGAUUCCGGAUAGGACUGAUUUGAUUUAUUUCAUUUCUGACCUAAAAGCUAUCUAAACCUCAACAUUUAGAGGAAGGUGAAGUCGUAACA